GGGGCACCGGAGGCGGUCAGCUUGCUGUAUUCCACGGCCGCAUCCUGCAGCUAACCGGAACCGCGCGGGUGGAUGGUGGGCGAGCCGCUGUGUACGGGCGGUCGGAAGCGUUGGUCCCCCCAGAUGAGAGCCUGCAGGCGUGAGCUCUCGCUGGGGACUUCCGGCGCCCUCAGCCCAUCCAGCCAUUGCCCGCCCAGCCUACAGUUUCGGUUGGCGAGACGCCUGGCACCAGUGGCUUGCAGAGCGUUGCACGCGGUGCCGGUGGUGUGGCCGAGCAGGAUGCGGCCCAGGAGUGCCUGAGUGCUCCAGCUCCACCACAACGCCAAAGGCGCCGCCGAGUGCCGCCGGCGGGUGCCCGUGAAGCCCUCCCACGCCUAGUGGAACUGCAUACCCGGAGCAGCGAGCAGCAGCAGCAAACCAACACGGUUCGUAGAUACUAUUUCUGUGCACUGCGGAUAUAUCUCAAAAAGAGAUAGGAUGCAAAUGGAUGUAGCCGAGAAUUUUUCUUCAAUAACUUUGAAGUCCAAUAAAGAGCCAUUCUGCCUUGAAAUUAAACAAAAACAUUAUGGUGAAUCUGGGCAAAUGGAACAUAAGAACAUUUAUGGACGAAUAUUUGCUAUUUUACAAUAUUCGAUGGAGUGUCUUUCUAUUAGGUAUUUUCUUCAAAAUUAAUUCGUACCAAACAUUUACUAUUUGCACACUCCUACACAAAACCAAACCUAAGUAUGUAAGGAACUAAAUCCUCAGCAUAGUUACCAAGUACAAAUGUACAUUUUUGCAAUUAUAACAUUGCAUAUGCACGCCUUCUUCGAUCAUUGGUUGGGGUAUGUUUUGCAUGCUGGAGGGGUAUCAGGACAGAGAAUCGCCGAUACUGCACAAUCGCCCGCCAGGCAAACUGGUGCGUAGCCCUGAAAAGGGCUGUUUGGUUUCUUCUUACGAAGAGGUGCUUGGAGGUGUGAGAUGCGUUUGAGGAGGUGACAGAAAAUGAAUUCUGACACCACUAUGGUCUGUCCAAACAACGGGAAUUGGUUGUGCGCUGAACUCGGCACCAUUGACGGAUGCCGCUGGGUCAGUGGAUUUUCAGCGGAGAGGAUGUGUUUUGCACGCUGAGACUCCAUAAACAGAAGCUCCCAGCGAAGUGUCGGUAGCGAAGAAUUCCGAGGUGACAUUGGCGACAUAUUUCUUCGUUUCCAGCUGAUUGCGGAGCUCCGGGAUGCGGCCACCCGCCAGGCUGUGGCCCUCGAACAGCUGGCAACCGAGGCCAGGCUCCACAGGGAGGCUGCAGAGAGGCAGGCUACAGCCCUGGAGGCCAUCCUGCAGCAACAGGGCCAGGCUUUGCAGGAGCUGCGCAGCGUGGGGGCGCUCUCACGGGCCAUUGCAGCGGCACUGCGGCGGCCUGCACAAUAAUUUAAAAUUUUGCUAUAUUCUUUGAUCUGCAGCAAAGACUGCUGCAGUUUUUUUUUAUCUGCAGCAGAGACUGCUGCAGUUUUUUUUAUCUGCAGCAAAGACUGCUGCAGUUCUUUUUUAUCUGCAGCAAAGACUGCUGCAGUUUUUUUUAUCUGCAGCAAAGGCUGCUGCAGUUUUUUUUUUAUCUGCAGCAAAGGCUGCUGCAGUUUUUUUUAUUUGCAGCAAAGACUGCUGCAGUUUUCUUUUUUAUCUGUAGCAAAGGCUGUUGUAGUUGUUUUUUAAAUCUGCAUGCAGAUUUUUUUAAAUCUGCAGUGAAAGGUGUUGUGUAUAGUUUUAAACCUGCAGCGAAGGUUGUUGUGUAUAGUUUUAAACCUGCAGCGAAGGUUGUUGUGUAUAGUUUUAAACCUGCAGCGAAGGUUGUUGUGUAUAGUUUUAAACCUGCAGCGAAGGUUGUUGUGUAUAGUUUUAAACCUGCAGCGAAGGUUAUUGUGUAUAGUUUUAAACCUGCAGUGAAGGUUGUUGUGUAUAUGUUUAAUCAAGCACCAAAGGUUGCCUUUUUUGUAUACUUUCAAAAAUAUCGCAUUCCACAUGAGGGCACUUAAGAACUUGGACUGUGCACUAGGUUUUGUGUCGCGACUUCUGAAAUACUUGCGGGAGUUCGUUUUUGUGUAUUGCUUCGACUUUGUUGUGCUAUGUGUAUGUGUCUGUGCAGAGGAGAGGCAGGUGCCUCUUAACGUCUGUACGUAUAUUAGAAAAUGACUCUUUUUUUUCUUUUUACCUUACAGUAAGGGCAACUUUCUUUUACUCAACUAUAUUAUAUCGCGCAGUUCUGAUACAAUUUCAGUUCUAAGAUGGCGCUCAUGUCGUGCAUUUAAUUUUUUUAAGCAUGAUUCAGUAUUCCGACUUCCCGGCGUUGCAGUCCCGAUUCAAACAGGCUUUUUCGGACUACCCGCCAGUUUGUGGGGUGGUCACUUUGGCUCGGUGACAAACUCCGACACCGUGUCCCAUUCACAGUUAGGCCGCUGCUUGUGCAUAAGUGUUAGGCAACAUACUUCACAGGAAGGAUAGCAAGUUAUUGUGUGCUAAAGAGGACAACAAAGAAGCACAUGCCAUAUAUGCUUAUGUUAUGCUUCUUAUCUUAUGCAUAAAAAAUAUGCACAGUUCAUCUGGAUGGCAUUGUGUACAAGCUUGUGCAGCCAUAGGGUCAUUAAUGAAAAGAACAUGGUUUUAUUGAGAUGGGUAGCUAAUGUACAAGAUGUUAUCAUGCCAAAAAUAUUGUGCCAGACUGGAGAACAUAGUAAACUGAGUCGCAGCGUGAUGCUCUGGGGAGGAAACAGUGCAUUGUAUUGCUUGACGUUGACUUGAUAAUAAGUGACUAAUAAAUUCACCGUGGCUAAUGAGCCCACGCCAAUAGUGUGUUUGUAAACUUUGGCAUACCGACAGCAUUCGUUUCACUUUCUUUUCCCACCUGU